GACGAACGCUGGCGGCGUGCUUAACACAUGCAAGUCGAACGGAAAGGCCCUGCUUUUGUGGGGUGCUCGAGUGGCGAACGGGCGAGUAACACGUGAGUAACCUGCCCUUGACUUUGGGAUAACUUCAGGAAACUGGGGCUAAUACCGGAUAGGAGCUCCUGCUGCAUGGUGGGGGUUGGAAAGUUUCGGCGGUUGGGGAUGGACUCGCGGCUUAUCAGCUUGUUGGUGGGGUAGUGGCUUACCAAGGCUUUGACGGGUAGCCGGCCUGAGAGGGUGACCGGCCACAUUGGGACUGAGAUACGGCCCAGACUCCUACGGGAGGCAGCAGUGGGGAAUAUUGCACAAUGGGCGGAAGCCUGAUGCAGCAACGCCUCGUGCGGGAUGACGGCCUUCGGGUUGUAAACCGCUUUCGCCUGUGACGAAGCGUGAGUGACGGUAAUGGGUAAGAAGCACCGGCUAACUACGUG
rnacentral:rRNA from 1 species